UGCACUUGCUGUCCCUGGCUGGGCCUGCUCUGGGACACUGAUGGGCUGGCAGCUGUUCCAUCUGCAGCCCCUCAUCAGGGACAAGGAGGAGGAAGCCAGCACCUCCUGUCUGCUCGCUGACCCCCAGCCUGGCCCUGCAGACUCUCCCUCCCAUGUCUAGGCAGUUGGAGAAGAAGCAAUUUGGUGCAUGUGAAUUAUUCAGAGCAGUCAAAGUGAAAGGAAGGACUGAGGCAACCCGUCUAGAAACAGCCAGUAAAGAGAUCCCAGCUCGAAACCACUCGUAAGGUUGAUCUCGAAAACAAAUUAGCGACAGGUUUCUGGAGAAUCCCGUGCUCUUCUGCAGGCUUUUCGAUUACUGGCCUGCUGAUGUUCACCUCUGGCAACCCCGCUUCAUCACUGACUCCAGGGAGCAAAGGUCCUUGGGACUCGCUCAUGGUCCUGUCCCAGCCACACGUCCGGCCGACUCAGCACAAGUGCACAGUAACUCCCUGUGGAGGUCAGGAAGUUGCAUCUGUAAUGAUCUCACAGGAGCACCUCCUACGUGCCCCGACACUAGCCACAGCCCGUGCUCCAGACCCCAAGCCAUGGGAAUGCCCGAGCCAGGGCUCUCCACCACCCUGCUCAGGCCCUGCCGCGAGGCGCAUCGCAUGCCUGGUUGGGACUGUGCACAUCCCUUUAUUGGAAAAUUAUCCCAAAUAUGGUGCUGCUGGUUUGGGGCCAUCUCCAAAGACAUCGCACGUUUAGCCUUAGCUGCGAAGGUUCAUGUUCACCCCUAGACAGGGCACUUCCUGCGGAAAAAGUGGGGGCAGAGCAAUUGUGCAGAUAACAGGCAAACCAGGCAAAGACUUUGGGAGUCUAGAAUUUUCCCCUGCAGGCAAGGCGGGGUGUGGGCAUGGGGCCUGGGGCCGGGCAGCACCGGACAUCAAGGCGUCUCAGAGAACGAGAUGCACCAUCAUGAUGGGGAGAAUCUUUCCUGGCUUCUUGUCAUCACACAAGCGUGAGAGGUGCCGCAGGGAUCCAGGCAUCUCCAUCUGUGAACCUCCAGGGUCUCUGCAGAAGAGGAAGGCUCCACCCACACUUCCUUGGCUAGAGUCAGUCAUGUGGCCACAGCCUAGUGCAAGGGAGGCUGGGAGGUGUGGUUUCGGGAUACCGGGGAAGCAGGAAAUGAGAAGAGAAAGGGACCCCUUUCUGACAUUAUUAAAAUAACA